rnacentral:piRNA from 1 species
GAGCAGCUCUUUGAUGAUGGUGAUGUU